UAAGCAUGUAUAUAAGUGAUUAUGAUACAUCUCAAUGCUAUUGCUAUUUAGUACUGGUAUUUUAUGUAUAGAGCCAUUUAAGUUAAACUUGAACUAAAUAUUCCAACCAUUAAUCAAUUUGAAAAGACACCAUGAGUUGAAUGUAACAGCCCCCGGGCCCCAUCAUGGCGAUCCCGGAGCUGCCACCUCACGAUCUUCUCUACCCCCCUCACUAGUAGAGUUUUUGCCUUCCGUGGGAAUCGAACCACGUACCCUGGGGUUCAAAUACGUGUUCAAUCCAUUCCCACUACCAAAAAUAAUAUAUAGCAAACAAAAAAAUGCACAUAGACUAAAAUAUAUCCAGAAUGCCACAAGCUUGUUUUGUUUUAAACUUAAUUCUCUUCUCACCAAUGGAAAAAUUAAUAAUCAAAAUUAGAAUUUGUUUUCAUGGAUACGUUAGGUACAACAAAUGCAUUUCCCAUUUAUGCAGGAACCACCGGAUAUAAGUUCAUUCUUCUCAAUGCACACAAGUUUACAAAAAAGGCUAUCUAUUAUAUUAUUGCAUGGUAAUUUGUACCUAAGCAAUCUUAUCUCACAUGCCUCAAUCUGCAUCACCGCUUCUUCUACAAUUUUCAAAGGAAACAAAAUAUUUUUUUGUUAAUUUAAUUAAGCAAUAUAUUUACACUUGUUAGUAAAAUUCUUAUAUUUAUUUUAUUGCUACACAAAUUAUUAUAUAG
rnacentral:lncRNA from 1 species